AAAAGAAACCAACAGGGAUUGCCCUAGUAACGGCGAGUGAAGCGGCAACAGCUCAAAUUUGAAAUCUGGCCCUCGGGUCCGAGUUGUAAUUUGUAGAGGAUGCUUUUGGUGAGGUACCUUCCGAGUUCCCUGGAACGGGACGCCAUAGAGGGUGAGAGCCCCGUCUGGUCGGAUACCGAUCCUCUGUAAAGCUCCUUCAACGAGUCGAGUAGUUUGGGAAUGCUGCUCUAAAUGGGAGGUAUAUGUCUUCUAAAGCUAAAUAUUGGCCAGAGACCGAUAGCGCACAAGUAGAGUGAUCGAAAGAUGAAAAGCACUUUGAAAAGAGAGUUAAAAAGUACGUGAAAUUGUUGAAAGGGAAGCGCUUAUGACCAGACUUGGACUUGGUUGAUCAUCCUGGGUUCUCCCUGGUGCACUCUUCCAGUUCAGGCCAGCAUCAGUUCAUCGCGGGGGAUAAAGGCUUCGGGAAUGUGGCUCCUCCGGGAGUGUUAUAACCCGUUGUGUAAUACCCUGCUUUGGACUGAGGUUCGCGCAUCUGCAAGGAUGCUGGCGUAAUGGUCAUCAGCGACC
rnacentral:rRNA from 1 species